GGGGAUGUACCGGUUUCGACAGGAGAUUCUGUAUCAUAAAAAGCGAGUCGGGAUUCCAUCUACCCCGUUAAACGGUGGAAAAACUUAAACGCAAAACAUGAUUUUGCUUUAGCAGCUUAAUCUGCUAAUGUCCCCUAAAGUUUUCCUAUGACUUCAGGCUGACAUCAACCAAUAGGAUACCGAGAGAGGAGGCUUGGGACUUUUU
rnacentral:tmRNA from 1 species